CCCUGGCUCAGGAUGAACGCUGGCGGCGUGCUUAACACAUGCAAGUCGAACGAUGACCCGGUGCUUGCACCGGUGAUUAGUGGCGAACGGGUGAGUAACACGUGAGUAACCUGCCCUUAACUCUGGGAUAAGCCUGGGAAACUGGGUCUAAUACCGGAUAUGACUCCUCAUCGCAUGGUGGGGGGUGGAAAGCUUUAUUGUGGUUUUGGAUGGACUCGCGGCCUAUCAGCUUGUUGGUGAGGUAAUGGCUCACCAAGGCGACGACGGGUAGCCGGCCUGAGAGGGUGACCGGCCACACUGGGACUGAGACACGGCCCAGACUCCUACGGGAGGCAGCAGUGGGGAAUAUUGCACAAUGGGCGCAAGCCUGAUGCAGCGACGCCGCGUGAGGGAUGACGGCCUUCGGGUUGUAAACCUCUUUCAGUAGGGAAGAAGCGAAAGUGACGGUACCUGCAGAAGAAGCGCCGGCU
rnacentral:rRNA from 1 species